GGAAUCAACACAAAUUGGUCAAAGGAGGACUUUUACCAAAUUAAGAUCAUUCAUUCAUUUUGGGAGAUGAAAUGUACAUUUCAUCAAUCCCCUAAAUCCAAUGAUCUUAACUCAACAAAGUCAAAUAGGAGAUGAAAUGUACAUUUCAUCAAUCCCCUAAAUCCAAUGAUCUUAACUCAACAAAGUCAAAUCAACCUUGACCAAGGCCCAACAACACAAGUCAAACUCAACAAGU
rnacentral:lncRNA from 1 species